rnacentral:ncRNA from 2 species
UGAUCCCGUGCGGGAGAGUCCUCCGGAACCUCGGAGGGCGCCGAAGGAGCAAAUCCUCCCCGGAAUCUCUCAGGCCCCUGUACCGCACGGACGAG